GUUUGUUGUUUAAGUAAAUAAACUGGUCAGAGGCUCGGCUGGCUGUGCAGGCUCCGAUGCCUCCCACAAGCCUGGUCCCAACCGGGAAGGGGCCACCAACAGAAAGAAGCCACCCGAUGCCACCCACCACGACACGCCCUUCUCCCCGGCACUGCCAGGGGUGCCGGGGGGCCAGAGAGAUUCCUCUCUGCCCGGCCCGAUGCAGCCCGUCCAUCCCCGUGAAGAGCCCUGGGUUUGCACCUCGGUUUUGCCAUCUUCUUGCCUUUCCAGAGGAAGAGUCAAACAUCCAGAUUGCCUCAGUCAACCUGGUUCCCAGUGAAUGCUGGAAGCCGCCUGGACAGGGGUUCUUUCAAUGCUGUCCAUCUCGUGCUGGGUCUGACAUCUGACAUCCGCUGACCGCCUCCUAUGUGUCACACACUGUGCUGGGCAUGGGGGCUCCCAGGGACAACACAAAGAAUCAGUGUCUACGUUCAUGGCGCUUCCAUUUUAAAUUAAGGAACGAACACACAUAGUAAAAUAAUUUCAAUAAAAUAAAAUGUUACAAGUAUUAG
ensembl:lincRNA